UUUGUUUUUUUUCUAUAAUUAAAAUCAGGUAAAAGUAAAUCCAAUGAUUAGCCGAAACGCAACAUAUAAGUACAACAAAGCAAUGUAUAUUACCAUAUCUGUUUGGCCGAGGCAAGAGGUCCAAAAUAUGAAAACAUAUGCUAGUACUAUCUCUAGCAAUGAAAUUCCAGUAGAGUAAAUCCUUGAAAGAUUACCAAAUAAGAAGCCUGUGAGAGAGAAUAGUUUGCUCCCCCAUUCCCACUAUCAGUGUUUGGCUAUUGCUAAAAAAAAUCUAUAAUAAGAA
rnacentral:misc_RNA from 1 species